rnacentral:rRNA from 1 species
CCUACGGGAGGCAGCAGUGGGGGAUAUUGCACAAUGGGCGAAAGCCUGAUGCAGCGACGCCGCGUGAGGGAAGACGGUCUUCGGAUUGUAAACCUCUGUCUUUGGGGAAGAAAAUGACGGUACCCAAAGAGGAAGCUCCGGCUAACUACGUGCCAGCAGCCGCGGUAAUACGUAGGGAGCAAGCGUUGUCCGGAAUUACUGGGUGUAAAGGGAGCGUAGGCGGGAUGGCAAGUAGAAUGUUAAAUCCAUCGGCUCAACCGGUGGCUGCGUUCUAAACUGCCGUUCUUGAGUGAAGUAGAGGCAGGCGGAAUUCCUAGUGUAGCGGUGAAAUGCGUAGAUAUUAGGAGGAACACCAGUGGCGAAGGCGGCCUGCUGGGCUUUAACUGACGCUGAGGCUCGAAAGCGUGGGGAGCAAACAGGAUUAGAUACCCGGGUAGU